UACGGGAGGCAGCAGUGGGGAAUAUUGCACAAUGGGCGCAAGCCUGAUGCAGCCAUGCCGCGUGUAUGAAAAAGGCCUUCGGGUUGUAAAGUACUUUCAGUCGUGAGGAAAGGUGUUAAGGUUAAUAACCUUAGCAAUUGACGUUAGCGACAGAAGAAGCACCGGCUAACUCCGUGCCAGCAGCCGCGGUAAUACGGAGGGUGCGAGCGUUAAUCGGAAUUACUGGGCGUAAAGGGCACGCAGGCGGUUAAUUAAGUUGGAUGUGAAAUCCCCGGGCUUAACCUGGGAAUGGCAUUCAAGACUGGUUAGCUAGAGUCUUGUAGAGGGGGUAGAAUUCCAUGUGUAGCGGUGAAAUGCGUAGAGAUGUGGAGGAAUACCGGUGGCGAAGGCGGCCCCUGGACAAAGACUGACGCUCAUGUGCGAAAGCGUGGGGAGCAAACAGGGAUUUAGAUAC
rnacentral:rRNA from 1 species